AUACCUUCCUCGUCCUCAUCAACUCCCUCCUCAAGUACCACUGCGUAGCCUCCGGCCGAGCCCCUCUGCUCGCCUGCCAGCGCCACCGGUCCGAGCCCGAGGCCAACGGCGACGGCCGCGGUGGUCUCGCCGGUGGGCGGCGGCCUGGUCCACGACCACGUGACCUCAGCCGUCCCCGUAGGUGGUUGCCCGCGGCCUCCUCCGCUUCUUCGAGGAGCUUGGCAAGCGCUGCGCCCGCGAGCAGAUACGUAUAUCACAAAGGGAAAUUUGGGGGCGAGGUCAGGAAGGAGAAGGUUUUCUUUUGUUGCCCAGUCCAGUACAGCCAACAAAAAGCUAGAUGUCUCGAGAUAGGAAUUGGACGGUAUCAAUCAUUAUUCUUGCCCAAGUCUAGGGGGAGAAGAUUGAUUCUGGCUGGUACCAUCACAUCUGAGGUGUCAAGUUCUGUAGGAGGAUCUUCUAUUGCAUCAAGAGAAGAUGCUAUCUUGUCACACUGGAAACUACGCAGCAAGCAUCUGUUUUGAGGAUCCACUGAUUAUUAUGGAGGUUUCUGUACAGCCACCAGAGCCACUGGACGAAUCCUUCCUCUGCUACGAUUACAGUAUCAAUAGUCUGCUAAUAGCCGACGCAGAACCAAAACAUCAUUUUUGUUUUGUACAUGCCCAUAUUUCCAUGCAGGUUAUUCCAUAUACAUUUUGUAAUAGGCCAUGUUCUUAAUCAUUCGUGUGGCCAGUAGAGUCCUCAUAAAAUGCCGUGGUGUUGUCAUGUAUGUCAUCAGCUUGCAACAGCGCCUCUGGCUACACCUCCAUCUAUGUAAUCCUUUCAUACAUCCUUUUUCACAGCCUUUAAUUUCAUGUUCACAGAGCUCGUAUCAGCAGGAGGAGUAUAUGAGUCUGAUUGCGGCUCAUCCAACGUUGAGUACAGGGAACAAAGCAGCACGUCAAGUGAUGGAGUAGCAAGGAUUUUCUAACAGUCCUCUCUCUUAGUUCUUGUUCUCUCUUAUCAGUCUUCUCUGUUCCCGAGUUUAAACAUUUCUAUUCCCUCUAUUUUAGUUUCUUCAUUAUUCAGUUUUGUUCCUUGGUUUCUUCUUAGUUAUUCAAUGUCCCUCAGUUAAAUCUGUUAAUCUUAUUUAUUCAGUCUUCCUUAGUUCCUUAGUUUCUUCUUAGUUAUUCAGUGUCCCACAGUUAAAUCUGUUGAUCUUAUUUAUUCAGUCUUCCUUAGUUCUUCAGUUUUAUCAGAUUCUUUUGGGUUUCUAAGUGUUAUUCCUCAUUUUUGUGCAUCCAUUCUUCUUUAGUUUUCCAGUUUUAUCCAUAUUUUCUGAGUUUCUCAGUACCUCAGUUUUAUUUGUUUCUCUUAUUUAUUCAUUUUAUCAUGUUUGGUUUUCUUUCAAACUCCAGUGCAUUCCAAAGGCGCGCUAGACAUCACCGCUACUGGAGAGGCGCUACUUUGUGAUGGACAAAACAGGACAAGAACAGAGAAGCAAAAUACUUCAUAUGCGCUGAUGGCAGGAUUGGGUUCAGGUCCGGAACUACGGAUGGGAAGAGUUUGCACUUGCAAAUGAACUUUGGAUAGGGCACAACAUCCUCGUUCUUUUCAACAAGGAUGGAGGUCGUGUCACUAUCUAAUUUGAUGUCCUGCACCCCUUUUAAUAAGUCAAGAGUUAUUAUUGUCAGGCAUCUCCAGGUUUUCGGAGUUUAUUAUGUGGCAUGAUGUACAUUCUCUGCUAAGCCAGAGAGAGAUCCUUUUUGUUCGGUAAACACUUUAUCUUCGAGCUUUCGCUCGGCGUAGUACCGGGCUUUGA